rnacentral:rRNA from 1 species
UUCCGGAACCACUCAAGUGGAGCGAUGAAGGGACGCGGCGUGGUAGGUCAGCCUCUUAACGGAUUGAGGUGCCAAACGCGUAGGACGUUGAAGGGUGUAGGUAAGUCCGCACCCCGAGUCCGAAACGUGAUGGCGGUGCCUUAGAGCCACAAGUGAUUGAGCCAUGCCGCCUAGAAAAGCUUCUAAGCGUUGAUAUUUGAGUGACCGUACCGCAAACCGACACUGGUAGGUGGGUAGAAUAUACCAAGGGGAGCGAGAGAACCCUCGUUAAGGAAUUAGGCAAAUUUCCCCCGUACGUUCGCAAUAAGGGGGGCCUCUGGUGGUGAGCUUAAUCGCAAAGCUGCUGGAGGCCGCAGAGAAAUGGCUCUUCCAACUGUUUAACAAAAACACAGGUCUCUGCUAAGUCGAAAGACGAAGUAUAGGGGCUGACGCCUGCCCAGUGCUGGAAGGUUAAGGGGAGAGGUUAGGCGCAAGCCGAAGCUUUGAGCCGAAGCCCCAGUGAACGGCGGCCGUAACUAUAACGGUCCUAAGGUAGCGAAAUUCCUUGUCGGGUAAGUUCCGACCCGCACGAAUGGCGUAAUGAGAGGAGCACUGUCUCAACGAGGGACUCGGCGAACAUUGAAGGACGUGUGAAGAUACACGUGACCCGCAGCGGGACAAAAAGACCCCGUGAAGCUUUACUACAACUUGCCAUUGAGUUAGGGCUAAACCUGUGUAGUAUAGGUGGGAGGCUUUGAAGCUGGGACGCCAGUCUCGGUGGAGCCACCGUUGAAAUACCACCCUGGUUUAUUCUUGGCUCUAACCUGUCGCCGUUAUCCGGCAUGGGAACAGUGGCUGGUGGGUAGUUUGACUGGGGCGGUCGCCUCCGAAAGCGUAACAGAGGCGCCCAAAGGUUCCCUCAGGCUGAAUGGAAACCAGCCGUUGAGUGUAAAGGCACAAGGGAGCUUGACUGCAAGACCAACAAGUCGCGCAGGGACGAAAGUCGGGCUUAGUGAUCCCACGGUUCAGAGUGGAAUGGCCGUGGCUUACCGGAUAAAAGCUACUUCGGGGAUAACAGGGUAGUCUGGUCCAAGAGUUCAUAUCGACGACCAGGUUCGCCACCUCGAUGUCGGCUCAUCACAUCCUGGGGCUGGAUAAGGUCCCAAGGGUUGGGCUGUUCGCCCAUUAAAGUGGUACGUGAGCUGGGUUCAGACCGUCGUGAGACAGGUCGGUCUCUAUCCGCUGUGGGCGUAAGGGAUUUGAGAGAAGCUGCCCCUAGUACGAGAGGACCGGGGUGGACGGACCUCUAGUGUGCCAGUUGUUCUGCCAAGAGCAUUGCUGGGUAGCUACGUCCGGCAGAGAUAACCGCUGAAAGCAUCUAAGUGGGAAACUCGUCUCAAGAUUAGAUCCCUCAUCCGUAUGGAGUAAGACCGCUAGAAGACUACUAGUUUGAUAGGCGGCAGGUGUAAGCGCAGUAAUGUGUUCAGCUUAGCCGUACUAAUGGUCGAGGGCUUACGUU